GCUUAAUCAGGGGUGUGGAAAUAAAAAAACAACUACUUGUCCCAGGACUAAAGAGUUUGCCCAUUCAAUUUGUCCGCCAUGACAAUCUACUUGUCCUGAUACAAUUUUUUUUAAUCAGAACCGUAUUUAAAUAAGGUCUGUCACCAGUCACCACCUCACUCUGUCACCCCCUCCAUAACGCUGUCAACUGUCACUCCUUCCCUCACUAUCAUCAGUCACCUCCUUCCUCCACUGGUGACAGAGGGAGGGAGUGACUAGUGACAGAGUAAUUGGAAGGAGGGGAGACCGGUGACAGAGAGCGGGG